GGGGAUUUAGCUCAGUGGCAUAAGCACCUGCCUCGCAAGCAGGCAGUGGUGAGUUCGAGUUCGAUCCCCG
rfam:Cavia porcellus supercont2_112 genomic scaffold, whole genome shotgun sequence.